GACGAACGCUGGCGGCGUGCCUAAUACAUGCAAGUCGAGCGGAACUGGGGGAGCUUGCUCCUUCCGGUUUAGCGGCGGACGGGUGAGUAACACGUGGGCAACCUGCCCCGCAGAUCGGGAUAACUCCGGGAAACCGGUGCUAAUACCGAAUAGUUUGGCGCCUCUCCUGAGGCGCUACGGAAAGACGGUUUCGGCUGUCACUGCAGGAUGGGCCCGCGGCGCAUUAGCUAGUUGGUGGGGUAACGGCCCACCAAGGCGACGAUGCGUAGCCGACCUGAGAGGGUGACCGGCCACACUGGGACUGAGACACGGCCCAGACUCCUACGGGAGGCAGCAGUAGGGAAUCUUCCGCAAUGGACGCAAGUCUGACGGAGCAACGCCGCGUGAGUGACGAAGGUUUUCGGAUCGUAAAACUCUGUUGUGAGGGAAGAACACGUACCAACUAACUAUUGGUACCUUGACGGUACCUCACCAGAAAGCCACGGCUAACUACGUGCCAGCAGCCGCCGUAA
rnacentral:rRNA from 1 species